CCUACGGGUGGCAGCAGUGAGGAAUAUUGGUCAAUGGGCGCGAGUCUGAACCAGCCAAGUAGCGUGAAGGAUGACUGCCCUACGGGUUGUAAACUUCUUUUAGAAAGGAAUGAAGUGAUGCACGUGUGCCGAUUUGUCUGUACUUUACGACUAAGGAUCGGCUAACUCCGUGCCAGCAGCCGCGGUAAUACGGAGGAUCCCAGCGUUAGCCGGGUUUAUUGGGUGUAAGGGGAGCGUAGAGGGGUUGUUAAGUCAGCUGUGAAAGUUUGCGGCUCAACCGUAAAAUUGCAAUUGAAACUGGAAGCCUUGAGUACAGUUGAGGUAGGCGGAAUUCGUGGUGUAGCGGUGAAAUGCUUAGAUAUCACGAAGAACUCCGAUUGCGAAGGCAGCCUACUAAACGGCCACUGACGUUGAGGCUCGAAAGUGUGGGUAUCAAACAGGAUUAGAUACCCGUGUAGUC
rnacentral:rRNA from 1 species